CUUUCUUCCUCUCUGUUUCACGUACAGCAAACAAGUUCUCAGCCGUUUCUCUCUCUCCUUCCUUCACGACCACCGCGUCCUGCCCAGCCGCCGGACCACCAGCGUUCGUCGCCGCCGCAACACCGCGAUCCAGGCCAGCCGACCACCGCACGCAGCCACCGGCGAUCCCUAACGCCGCCACCUCGCCUAGCCGCCCACCCUGUGCGCCGGCCAGCACUCCCCUCUCCCUCUCGAAUUGG